AGGAGGAACAACCGCAGUGGUGGGGCCAGCUCUGGAGCCUUGGAGUCAGCUCCCAUAGGAACUACUGAGCUCUUGAUCUGCAGGGCCUGGAGGCUCCGGGGCAGG
rnacentral:pre_miRNA from 1 species